UUUGCAUUCUGGGUUACGUAGUCUCUGGUUGUUCGUUUGUGUAAUCUGUUCUGACUAAAGGCCAGAGGACAGGGUAGACGCUGGCGGGUCACGUGACUCGAGUCUAGCGCUUACUGAGAUCGCAUUGCGGCUCCCGCCCCGGCGAGUUCUCGCCCCCGCGCGGCCGUUUCCGAGGUGACGGCGCAUGUCUCGCCUCGCGUUGCCCCCUCUGCAGUCCCCCCGCCCCGCUUCUCCCACCACAAUGAGGUCCUAAGAUGGCGGUGGCUGCGGCGGUUGGCGCCGAGUACCUAAAGUAGAAAGGCGGCCAUUGGGCUCUAGGCAGUCAGGGAACUUGUGGACCUCCCUGCUGUGGUCUCUAAGGGAGGAACGCUGCCAGUGGCGGGUCGUGGGGGCUGACCGCCGCUGCACCCUUGGCAGGAGCGGCUGCUUCGUUUACAGGCAGACAGUCCGCCCCUCCCCCGGACCGAUCGCCGCGAUCUCCGAGACAACAACUUUAAAGUGUGAAGCAGAAAAGGAGCUGUUUCUGAGCUGCAAAACUUGUUUCUAAAUAGGUAAUUUGACAUUAUAUUAUUUUCCUUUGUAUUAUAGCUGAACACUUUAUGAUG
rnacentral:lncRNA from 1 species